GAUAAAGAAGCAGAAGGGAAGAGGAAAAUAGGACAGGGAGAGGUAAAGAAGGAGAUUGGAGAUUGCAACUCUGUGCUUAGGUGUGUGACUGACAGAAUCCUGGCAGCUGUGUAAUGUGUGAGCAGCAACUGUCUUAUGGUCUUUUGAGGUUGGCCGGUAAGGAGUCCAUUACAAUAGUCCACCCUUCUGGUGAUAAAAACAGAUGUCUCUCGCUUUGUGUCGGGACACUUCAUGCGAUGGCUCCCCUCUCCAGAUGUCUGCAGAGUGCUUGAAAGAGUUUGGCCGGCAGUUCCUUCAGCCUCCUUCUGAUUCAAUCAAAACACAACAGGUUUGUGACCUACCUGCUCUUUCUCUCUCUGUCUCAUGACAUGGGAAUGUUCUAGUUCUUUUAAAGGAAUUCACCCAAAAUUUUACAUUUUAACUAUCAUUCCAAACCAAUUAUGUCAGUUUUAUUAUAAAAUUUAUGAUGAUAUGUUGUUUGAAUGU